ensembl:snRNA U4 U4 spliceosomal RNA
AGCUUUGUGCUAGUGGCAGUAUCUAGCCAGUGAGGCUUGUUUGAGGCACGAUUAUUGCUAGUUGAAAACUGUGUAGCCCUCACUCUC